CACCUGCCUCUUCCCGUCAUUCCCCGCUCUGCGUUCCAUCUACCUACGCUUGCUCUUUUCCCUCCUUUUUUUUUUGUGCUCUCUCUCAGUCUUUCUCUCCACCCCUCCUUGUCCUCAACCCCCCUACGCUGUGUGUCACCGCUGCCGGGAAGAAAGAAAAAUGCUCUGGCCAACGAAAGUAGAAGAGAAAGGAGAAAACGGAGAAAAGAGUCGAAGAGGAGAAGAAAGCGAAAGCUGGAGAGUGUUUGGAGCCCAGCGAUGCCUCCAUCCACCUUGAGCCCGACUCUUCUUUGAUGGAAUAUCCCGGACAGCAGAGGGCAGAAGGAGGGAGAAGACGGAGAAGAAAAAGUAGAAGAGAAGGGAGACCGAAAGAAGAAUAAACGAAAGGGAGAAGGCAGGACGGCCAGCGCUUGCCUCAGGAGGUCCGGUCUCAUUGUCCUCACACACACCUCGCCUCCGAGUGUCAGCGCGCGCGUGUGUGCAUGUGUCUGUGUGAGGACGGGGGUGCAGCCAGUCAUUUCUACACCACAGCGCAGCGGAGCGCCGCGUUCCACUCUGAGGUUUACGUGGAUGCGGUGCAUCAGAUAGGCUAUGCCCUUCACCUGUGCCUGCUUCUGUGGCCUGAACGGCUUCUGCCGCAGACGGAAGAAGAAGAAAAAGGAGCAAGUGGAAGAAGAGGAGGGUGAGGAGGGUGAGGAGGUAGAACGAUUGAGGGAUCAGGAGACAGAGGUGUGACGGCGACGCAGUCAGCUGCGCUCUCCUUACUGUCACCAGGGUUUUAUCCUUUAACAGGCUGGAAUGUAUGGCCUGGGUUACUGCUGCUCAGUACAGACUGUCUCAUAUUAAGCAUGGGGAUACUAUAACAGGGGUGGUAAGGGAGCUUCAGCAGGUACAGGCUUUUAUUGAAAAAUUCUGAAUUAAUUUAGGUUUUUUUUUUUUUUUAAUGGAAACUUCUUUUCCAAAUGUUACUGGGACUAGGGCUCCAGGUUCUACAUAGCUUCUACUUUCCACUUUAAGUUGCAUAAACUCAACAACCGCAAAGCUGUCUUGAGCCAUAUUCCUCAAGAUGAAUCAGAUUGAUGAAAAUAAAAGCCUGUGAACUCGGAGCUCAUCCCCAUUACCCAUCCUUGCAGCACUCUAAUUUUCCCUUGGCAGCUGACUGAGAACUUUGCUUCUGCUGGUGUGAUUCCAAAAAAACAUCUCUUAUCUGUUUGAUUAAUUUCUUGCCAUAGCUGGUGUACUGUACAAGGUGUGAAGAAAGCCAUUAUUUCUCUCAGUCACACUUCUCAGCGAGGCUGCACCUCUCCCUUCUCCUCCUCAAUCGCAGCUCCGCGGAGGCUGAAACGAUGGAGCUCUGCAUCUCCUCACCUACAUGCUUAUGUCAGAUCGACUUAGUGAAAACUUCAGCCAAGUGAGAAAGUGUACAGUAAUUUCCAAAGUCACCCAUGGCGGGCCGGAGCCCAUCUCGGUUUUCACGCUGAGAUGGGCUUAAUCUAAAGCAGAGCAGCUGUCCAAUCAGCAGCUUAGCUGGAGUGUGAAGAUAGGAGUCAAGGGUCAGAAUGAGCAACAGGGUUUGUGAAAAGUCCCUCCUCUGAUGCCGUAGCAUCUCGGUCUCAUUAAUAGGCAGACAAGUAAUUACAAACACACAGACACUGAUGCAGACCCAUCCGUUAAUGUCCCCCGGUGGGAGUGGAGUGUCUGCGCGUAAAUGCCACUGCGGUGCGCUUCCAGCUGUCACCUGUGUGAGUGUAUGACUCCGAAAAUGUGUGUCUGUGUGCUUGUGUUUCUUCUUGGCUGCAACAAUAGACUUUCAAACCUGAAACAAGUGGUUAAGAGAUCUAUUCAGCUGCUAUAGAACCGCCUUUUCAGAAUGCACAUCGAGACACAAAGACAAAGACACACACACACACACACACACACACACAGGUCUCAUUAGCGUAUGUGAUUAUGCAUGGCACGUCCAGUCAGGCAGUGGAGAUGUAAUUAACCUUUUCCAGCAGGAAACAGAUGCCUGGAUGUCACACACAAACACACAAUGACAUACACACGCAGACACACACACACACGUCUGCUGUCAGGGAAACAAAGCCAACGUCACGGUGUCACGGAAACAAAGCCCCAAAAGCGCCGCCUGGCACUCUGUGAUAAUCCCCUCACGCAUAUUUACAUUCAGAGCUUAGAAUACGCCUCGGUGCCACCGUCUCCACCCCUCGCCACACUCCGCUACC